UGGGGAAUCUUGCACAAUGGGGGCAACCCUGAUGCAGCGACGCCGCGUGAGCGAUGAAGCCCUUCGGGGCGUAAAGCUCUUUCGACCGGAACGAUAAUGACGGUACCGGGAGAAGAAGCUGCGGCUAACUACGUGCCAGCAGCCGCGGUAAUACGUAGGCAGCAAGCGUUGUUCGGAGUUACUGGGCGUAAAGAGUGCGUAGGCGGUUUUCUAAGUUCGGUGUGAAAUCUCCCGGCUGAACUGGGAGGGUGCGCCGAAGACUGGGAAGCUGGAGUGUGGGAAAGGCAGGCGGAAUUCCUGGUGUCGCGGUGAAAUGCGUAGAUAUCAGGAGGAACACCGGCGGUGUAGACGGCUUGCUAGACCAUAACUGACGCUGAGGCACGAAAGCGUGGGUAGCAAACA
rnacentral:rRNA from 1 species